AUUGAACGCUGGCGGCAGGCCUAACACAUGCAAGUCGAACGAGUGGCGGACGGGUGAGUAAUGUCUGGGAAACUGCCUGAUGGAGGGGGAUAACUACUGGAAACGGUAGCUAAUACCGCAUACCAUCAGAUGUGCCCAGAUGGGUUUAGCUAGUGGGUGGGGUAACGGCUCACCAAGGCGACGAUCCCUAGCUGGUCUGAGAGGCUGACCAGCCACACUGUAACUGAGACACGGGCCAGACUCCUACGGGAGGCAGCAGUAGGGAAUAUUGGACAAUGGGCGCAAGCCUGAUACAGCAAUGCCGCGUGAGUGAAGAAGGUCUUCGGAUUGUAAAGCACUUUAAGUUGGGAGGCGUUACCAACAGAAUAAGCACCGGCUAACUUCGUGCCAGCAGCCGCGGUAAUAC
rnacentral:rRNA from 1 species